GUCUUUUUGAAUUAAAUUUAAAGUCUAACCUGCCCACUGAAAUUUUAAAUGGCCGCAGUAUUCUAACUGUGCAAAGGUAGCAUAAUCAUUAGUCUUUUAAUUGAAGGCUGGAAUGAAUGGUUGGACGAAAUAUUAACUGUUUCAUUUAAAUUUUUUAUAGAAUUUUAUUUUUUAGUCAAAAAGCUAAAAUUUAUUUAAAAGACGAGAAGACCCUAUAAAUCUUUAUAUUUUGUUGAUUUUAAUUAUAAAGAUUAUUUUUGUUAUAAUUAAUAAAAAUAUUUUAUUGGGGUGAUAUUAAAAUUUAAAAAACUUUUAAUUUUUUAAACCAUUAAUAUAUGAAUAAUUGAUCCAUUAAUAAUGAUUAAAAAUUUAAGUUACUUUAGGGAUAACAGCGUAAUUUUUUUGGAGAGUUCAUAUCGAUAAAAAAGAUUGCGACCUCGAUGUUGGAUUAAGAUAUAAUUUUGGGUGUAGCCGUUCAAAUUUUAAGUCUGUUCGACUUUUAAAUUCUU
rnacentral:rRNA from 1 species